AUCAGAAUGCCACUUCUGGGCUGUUCCCCAUAUCUUUUUUGCACAUCAAUGUUCUGAAGAAUUUUUACUGAUCAAAGAAUUUGUCAUCAGAAUGCCACUUCUGGGCUGUUCCCCAUACACCUAUGCAUAUCAAUUUUCUGGAAAGUUUUAACUGAUCAUCGGAAUGCCACUUCUGUCCCAAACACUGAAGCAUAAAAUAAAGUUGAAUCUCCGUGUGGAGAGGUCUGGCUGGUGACCAGAAAGAAUCUCAUGCCUCUCUCAUCCCUCUCUCACUGACACCGUCUAUCCUUCAGGGACCCCUGGACUGGCCUUAGCUGGACUUCGACAGGAAAGGAGGGGACAAGUUAAGGGACUUAAGAUCUUGAACUGAAAUUUAUUAAGGACUAGAGAGAGAAACUUCUGUGUAACUCCUAACUGUGCACAAGACCGAGAAUAUACAAAAAGGUUUUGGAGUGAUUAUCACAGAGGACUGCUGAGUCCAAGGAUUGUUAACAACAUCCAGUGAAGUAGUCCAAGCUGUUGUUUUCACAGUAAUCAAUGGAGCCAUUGACUUAUUUGAGAAGGACCUCUAAAGGGCUGAUGGGUAAUUAACAAGAAUUAGAGAUGGAGUCUGCAGGACUGAAUGAAAGUAAUAGGAUCAUGGCAAUGAAUUUGUCUUGUAAAGUUGUGCAUAGAUUCAACAAGAAUAAGUAACACUUGUUCCGAUACUCUUUAGAUAUUAAAAAUCAAUAAUUAAAUAAGCACGUAUUGCCACUAUAUCAUAAAUGGUAAGGAUGAUGAAUGAAGUCCAUGUGAAUUGCCUGGAGACACACUGAAUUUGUGAUCCAGAAGGAAAGUUUUACAUUUGAUUUCCUAUUUCAUCUUAUAAGUACCUGAAGAGAUCAAGCUACCUUCUCUUCCUCUGGAAUGCUGCUUUCCAGAAAAGGACGUAUUUUAUUGAACACCAUGAUGAGGAAUUAGGUUAAAAUCCUACAGCUUCUUCAAGAUGUGAAUCUACUGUCUGAGACAAUAUGGAACUCUAUGAGCCCUGGACUCAGAUGACAGGCAGGAGUGAGGAUGUGAAGAGGGGCUACUGACAAUAAAGACUCACAGCCUUGCAUUCCCUGCGACCAAAACAGGUUCUUCACAUGCACAUUUUCCUCAGGAAAAGAGGAGAACAGGAUUUUCCAACAAAGCCUGCAUCAGAACAGGGAUAUGAACUACUUGGUUCUGCUAACCAGCUAUGCACUUGCCUUUACUCUGCCACCUACCGUUUCAGUGAAUAACUGUGCAGAGAAAAUUCACAGAAGAACCCAAAUUAAUUCCUAGUCCAUCUACAGAGAGACAUGAAGUCAGCCUCCAGUCCUGGAAUUCUUACCAGGCCACAUGACCUGGUGCCCUGGUACCAAAUAACUAAACAGUUAAAGUUCCUAACAAGAAGUUGGAUAAAAUGCUAUGUAUCCAAAAUAAUGAAAUGGCUUACUCUGUUC